rnacentral:lncRNA from 1 species
GGCGCCGGAGCGGGGCUCCCACAGCACGAGCCGCGUGGGGGACCGCUCGUCGUCGGCCAGGGCUAGCCAACCGCGCGGCGUGCCGCAGCAGUACGGGAGGCCCGGCGGGGUGGCGAGUUGGACGCGCUUCAGGCCGGCGGGAAGCCAGUGGGAGCAGUCGCCGAGCGGGCCAACCCUUAUCGGCUUCGCGCGGGUGGCCACGACCCAUGGGCGAAAGGGCGCGACGGGGACAGGCGCGCGCCA